rnacentral:lncRNA from 10 species
CCACGGGGCCGCCUGGAGAGGUGCUGGGAGCUGGGUGGAGCUUAGAGGAAUUAAACUUUGGCCCUGCGCCUCGUCCAGCCUAGGUUCCACCCUUUUCUGGGAACGUGAGUAUCAACCAAGGCUGGAGUGCAGUGGCACCAUCUCGGCUCACUGCAACCUCUGGCUCCCAGGUUCAAGCGAUUCUCCUGCCUCAGCCCCCUGAGUAGCUGGGAUUACAGGCACGCGCCACCACUCCCAGUUUACACCCCGCCACUCCUGAGCACCGCACACCGGCUUCCUCCCAGUCCCUCAUCUGAGAACUCAUGAAGCCACUUGGAAUCCCUCUCUGCUUUGCCUGGCUCAUUCCAUGUCAAUUUCAGAUCUUCACUUCAGGUCAGCUCCAAGGAGGCUAUCCUUGCCCAUCUUCCUAAAAUAGAGCUCUCAAAACCUGGCUGUUUUCCUUCAGAGCACUGGCCUCCAAUUGCUCCGGUAGAUUGCAAAUGACCUGCUUUCUUUCUGUUCCCGGGCGUUUGGACCCCUGUCUUGGACCGCUGUCGGAUAGUAAAUCCCAAGUAAGGUACCUGCCGUCGGCAGAUUUGAGCUUUCUUCUUGGACACCUAAUACCCAGAGUCCUCCAGGCUCCGGUAGAUUGCAAAUGACCUGCUUUCUUUCUGUUCCCGGGCGGCAUCGGACCCGUCGGAGAGUAAAUCCCAAGUAAGGUACCUGCCGUUGGCAGAUUUGAGCUUUCUUCUUGGACACCUAAUACCCACAGUCCUCCAG